rnacentral:rRNA from 1 species
UACGAAGGGGGCUAGCGUUGCUCGGAAUCACUGGGCGUAAAGGGUGCGUAGGCGGGUCUUAAGUCAGGGGUGAAAUCCUGGAGCUCAACUCCAGAACUGCCUUUGAUACUGAAGAUCUUGAGUUCGGGAGAGGUGAGUGGAACUGCGAGUGUAGAGGUGAAAUUCGUAGAUAUUCGCAAGAACACCAGUGGCGAAGGCGGCUCACUGGCCCGAUACUGACGCUGAGGCACGAAAGCGUGGGGAGCAAACAGGGA